GAGAAAUAGCUAUAAAGCUCAGGAGGGAUAGCGCCAUGGCUCACCAGUGCUGUAUGUUUUGUAUAUGCGUACAUGUAUAUCUGUUGGCGCUAUCCAUCCUGAGUUCCAUAGCUUCUUCUU
rnacentral:pre_miRNA from 14 species